GUCGUACAGGUCUCCGUAGGUGAACCUGCGGAGGAAUCAUUACACAAAUAUGAAGGCGGGCUGGAACCUCUCGGGGUUACAGCCUUGCUGAAUUAUUCACCCUUGUCUUUUGCGUACUUCUUGUUUCCUUGGUGGGUUCGCCCACCACUAGGACAAACAUAAACCUUUUGUAAUUGCAAUCAGCGUCAGUAACAAAUUAAUAAUUACAACUUUCAACAACGGAUCUCUUGGUUCUGGCAUCGAUGAAGAACGCAGCGAAAUGCGAUAAGUAGUGUGAAUUGCAGAAUUCAGUGAAUCAUCGAAUCUUUGAACGCACAUUGCGCCCUUUGGUAUUCCAAAGGGCAUGCCUGUUCGAGCGUCAUUUGUACCCUCAAGCUUUGCUUGGUGUUGGGCGUCUUGUCUCUAGCUUUGCUGGAGACUCGCCUUAAAGUAAUUGGCAGCCGGCCUACUGGUUUCGGAGCGCAGCACAAGUCGCACUCUCUAUCAGCAAAGGUCUAGCAUCCAUUAAGCCUUUUUUUCAACUUUUGACCUCGGAUCAGGUAGGGAUACCCGCUGAACUUAAGCAUAUC
rnacentral:rRNA from 1 species